AUCNGUCUAAAUGCAGUCGAGCGGUAGACCUCUUCGGGGGUACACGAGCGGCGAACGGGUGAGUAACACGUGAGUAAUCUGCCCUUCACUUCGGGAUAACUACCGGAAACGGUGGCUAAUACCGGAUAUGACCUGUCCUCGCAUGGGGGUGGGUGGAAAGUUCUGGCGGUGGAGGAUGUGCUCGCGGCCAAUCAGCUUGAUGGUGGGGUAAUGGCCUACCAUGGCUUCGACGGGUAGCCGGCCUGAGAGGGUGACCGGCCACACUGGGACUGAGACACGGCCCAGACUCCUACGGGAGGCAGCAGUGGGGAAUAUUGGACAAUGGGCGAAAGCCUGAUCCAGCAACGCCGCGUGAGGGAUGACGGCCUUCGGGUUGUAAACCUCUUUCAGUAUCGACGAAGCUGUGCCUUUUUGGGUGUGGUGACGGUAGGUACAGAAGAAGCACCGGCCAACUACGUGCCAGCAGCCGCGGUAAUACGUAGGGUGCGAGCGUUGUCCGGAAUUAUUGGGCGUAAAGGGCUCGUAGGCGGUUUGUCGCGUCGGGAGUGAAAACACUGGGCUUAACUCAGUGCUUGCUUCCGAUACGGGCAGACUAGAGGUAUGCAGGGGAGAACGGAAUUCCUGGUGUAGCGGUGAAAUGCGCAGAUAUCAGGAGGAACACCGGUGGCGAAGGCGGUUCUCUGGGCAUGACCUGACGCUGAGGAGCGAAAGUGUGGGGAGCGAACAGGAUUAGAUACCCUGGUAGUCCACACCGUAAACGUUGGGCGCUAGGUGUGGGGCCUAUUCCAUGGGUUCCGUGCCGCAGCUAACGCAUUAAGCGCCCCGCCUGGGGAGUACGGCCCCAAGGCUAAANCUCAAAGGAAUUGACGGGGCCCNCACAAGCGGCGGAACAUGCGGAUUAAUUCNAUGCACNCGAAA
rnacentral:rRNA from 1 species